UUUUUUUUUUUAAUUUUUAUUUUAAAAACUAAUCUAAACUAUGGUAGAGAGAUUCAAACUCGGGUGUAGAGUAAAAGACACCUUCGCUCUAGCCAAUUUGAUUAAGGUCAUAAUUUGUUUAAUAUCUUGUGAAUGUUUACCUAUAGAGUUAUGAUCCGUUUAAUAUCAGUUAUGAUAAUUGUAGUGAGGAUCCUUUUUUCUUCUUUUAAUAUUAUUGUUUAUAUACAUCUUCAGCCAUGGAACAUAGGCCACAUGUACCCCUCAAAAAAUGUAAAACCCAUCUCCAGUCAUAGGAUAAAAAAAUAAAA
rnacentral:lncRNA from 1 species